GGUUGUAUAGUGUAGUGGUUAUCACUCCAGAUUUUGACUUGCUUCAAAACUUCUGGUAACCCCAGUUCGAGCCUGGGUACGACCU
rnacentral:tRNA from 1 species